rnacentral:rRNA from 1 species
UACAGAGGGGGCAAGCGUUAUUCGGAAUUAUUGGGCGUAAAGGGCGCGUAGGCGGCCUGGCAAGUGGAUGGUGAAAUCCCUCGGCUUAACCGAGGAACUGCCAUCCAGACUGCUUGGCUUGAGACCGGGAGAGGUGAGUGGAAUUCCCAGUGUAGCGGUGAAAUGCGUAGAUAUUGGGAGGAACACCAGUGGCGAAGGCGGCUCACUGGACCGGUACUGACGCUGAUGCGCGAAAGCGUGGGGAGCGAACCGG